rnacentral:miRNA from 1 species
UUGGGUUUUCUCUUCAAUCCAG